rnacentral:rRNA from 1 species
GACGAACGCUGGCGGCGUGCUUAACACAUGCAAGUCGAACGAAGUGGCGAACGGGUGAGUAACGCGUAAUCAACCUGCCCUUCAGAGGGGGACAACAGUUGGGAACGACUGCUAAUACCGCAUCCUGAAGGCGGGGCUUGCGUCUGCUUAUCUAGUUGGAGGGGUAACGGCCCACCAGGGCGCUGAUCAGUAGCAGGUCUGAGAGGAUGAACGGCUAAAUUGGGACUGAGAGACGGCCCAGACUCCUACGGGAGGCAGCAGUGGGGAAUCUUCCGCAAUGGACGGAAGUCUGACGGAGCAACGCCGCGUGAGUGAGGACGGCCUUCGGGUUGGAAAGCUCUGUUAAGCGGGACGCGGUACCGGAAUAGAAAGCCACGGCUAACUACGUGCCAGCAGCCGCGGUAAUUC